CUGCCCCUCUCAGAGCCCGGCUCUGGGUACUUCAAGGGGUGAGGCAGGAUGGAGGUGGCAGUCUGGCCUCGCGAUGGGGACGGAUGUGACCAGAGAGGGCUCUCGAUUGGCUGAAAUUCAGAAAGCAUGAAAGUGUCGGCCCAGGACAGGCCGGUUCUGGGAGAUGUCACAGGAGUGCCUGGAUGCUUGACACAGACAAAAGGAUUUGUCCCAAACACCCAUGGACAAGCCAGGACGGAGCCCUUUCCCGCCAAACCACUAAGGCCGGGAAAUAAACGGCGCCUGCCCAGGCUCUGGGAGCUGGGAGCCCUCGAGAAGACUUGAGUGGCUCUGGACAAAACUGGCAGGAAUCUCCUUGUCGUGAGAAGACGGACGGUGUCUGCAGCACAGGAGACAACUACAAACAGACUUUGGGGCGGGAAAGAGGGCGGGAGGAGGGAGCUGGCAGGGGCCAGCUUUGAUCGCCUCGGCUCCGCUGUGUAUUUGUCUUCUCCAGUUUAGAUUAGCUGAAAUAGUCAGCUCUAGCGAGGAGCUCUGUUCGAGGAGUUCCCCCUCCCUCCCCAGCGCCCCCUCCCCAGUGUCUUCCGCACUCGGGGAGCUGGGUCGCGGCUCUUCCCGGAGUCGCGCCUGAAACUUCAAGGGCUAAUGGUUCUGUGUUCUGCCGUAAUUAGGAGGCCACACAGCUCUCCAACACGCCGUUAAAACAAAUCUGUAAGUCAUCCUACCCCUCUCCGGGACAGACCCGGGGAAAGGCGGCAGCUGGGACCGCUCCCGGCUGCGUGCUCCGCAGGGGGAGUGGCGUCGCUGUGAAUCCCGGCCUCGGUCUUUCUAAGCUCUUCCUUAGAAGAGAAAAGGGGCAAAGAAUGGGCACCUCGCCAUUCACCAAACGAGCCAGGCGAGCCUGUGUCUUUGCCUGAAAAGUUUUCAGAAUAAAUCGCUCUGGUGGUUCUAAGCAGUAAUGAAGAGAGGCUGGGCCUGGGUCUUCUCCAGAACAGUGAGAUAAUGGGAAGGAUAUGGAGUCGUCCUCCCCCCAUCUCUUUUCUUUUCCCCACUCCGUAUAAAUCAGCCAUAUAAAUCGUUUGCAUUGUUUAAGGUACAUUGAUCAAUCUAAUGGCUUGUAAUGGGCUCCUAAUUGCCACUUGCAGAGUUCUGCAGGCUCCUGUCUGAACGGGAAAGGUUCUUGAUUCCAGCAGAAAUCCACCUUAAUCUUCAGACUGGUUGAUACAGACCCAGGAAGAGCACUAGGAUGACCAGGCCACAGCAGUCUCAGAGCCUCAGGGGAGAGAGGAAAGGAGAUUUACCAGGGAUGUUUGCUAUCCUUUUUGUUCUUUUUUUUGUCAUACAUUGAUAUGAAUCAGCCAUAGAU